UCAGGCUGGCUUCUUUCACGUAGUAAUAUGCAUUUACAGUUUCUCCAUGUCUUUUCAAGGCUUGAUAGCUCAUUUCUUUUUAGUGUUGAAUAAUAGAUCUGAAGAGC